CACACACACACACACAGUGUUAAGUAGGUUUACAGCUUUGUGUUGAGCUGCAUCCAUAGUUGUUCUGGGCAUGCUGUAGCCUGUGAAUCACAGGAUGGACACCCUAAAGCAGCUCCGCCCUUAUUUAUCAUUUGCUAUUUUAAAACUCUCUUCACACCACAGAGGAUAUUGUGAUGAGUAGCACUUCAACUCACCUAGUUUGUAUGUGGCCCUGUCCCCAUCUGCUCGGAUCAGCUGUCUUAUGGAGACCUCUACUCCUACUGCCUAAGGGUGGGGCUAGGACAUUCCCCAUGCACCAGCACACUCAGUCAUGUCUACACAACACUACAGCUGACAGAAAACCUACCUCUUCAGUUACUGUUUGCAGGUAACUGACCCAUGGAGAACAUUCAAAGAGACUUUUUUUUUUUUUUUAAACAGGAAAACUGCUUAAAACACAAGUAUGGGACUGGAGAGAUGGCUCUGAAGUUAAGAGAACACACUGUUCUUUUCCCAGCACCUGAUUCGGGCAGCUCACAACUGCCGGUAGCCCCAGCUCCAUGGGGAUCUGAUGCCUACUUCUGGACUCUGUGGACAUCUCCACUCACCUGUGCACAAACCUAUGCAUAGAUUCAUAAAUAUACACAGAUGCACUAAGUCAUAAAAAAAGUAGUAAACAGGAAAGGAACAAACUCACUUUCCUUGUUGCCCUAUCAAAUUUAGUUUCCCCAAGGAGGAAGAAAGGUACAUCUCAGGUACAACUAUGAUCCACAGACUAUUACUUUUCUAUCCUUACCUUUAUUGGGUCCAUGAGAUGGUUUGGCUAGUUAUCAUAGACCGUGGAUUUAGAAAGAUAAAUAUACUGACCUCAUGCUAUUUAUAUUUCUUUUGUUCACACAAAGACUUUGGGGGAAGGAGAGAAGAGACAUCCAUAGGGACAGUUUCUUUUCCUUUAUUUUCAUAUCGUGUCUGUUUUUUUUUUUUUCCAUUAUUUCUGUGAGCUCACAGUCAAGGGCAGUGUUUUUGUAUGGGUGUCGUGCAGUGGCAGAUGAGGCUGAGAUGUCACAUAUGAUUUAUUGCUCUGAGGUUCCUGGCACCUAACUGGACGACUCGUGUUCAGAACUGCCUCAGUGCUCCACUAUUUGAGUUUCCCAACCCAACACCAAUACUGCAGGAACAUUACCAGGUAGGUGAACCCGAGGCAGGCUGACUGUCAGAGAAUCUGCUUAGCCCUGUCACCCCGGCAAAGCCACCUGCUCCAAUUCCCAUCUCAUUAUGAUUUCCUGAGUAGAGUUUGAAGAUGGUGAGCCUCCUGAAUAGAGUGGACAAUGUGGUAGUAACUUUUCCUGUCAGGAGACAAGUGUACCACUCACACUAUAUAUUUUCUUGUAAGGUUUGGCUGCCACCUGCUGGAAGAAAUCCUACUAUAUGCUUACCUAAGUUUUGAAUUGGUUAACUCUCGUUUUGGACGCCCGAGAAUAUUCUGAAGUGGUUCUGUUGUUCAGGCUAGUUUAAAUGUAGUGCUGUUUCUGGUGAGGCAUGAUGGAAGGUAUUGAUAUUUGCAAGAGGUUUCACAUUAAUGAGGUUCAAGCACCAGAUUCAGGGUCUUCUAGGCUUGCUCCCAGCUGUGAGACUGUGUAAGUCUGUACCUCAUUCUGGAGAACAGUUCUAGGACAGACUGACAAGGAUCCUUACUGCUAUCGAGAGCUGGGAUGGGAGAUGUGGAGAUCCAGUAAAUACCCCACUCUUGGGACAGACUUGACGUAACUAAUUCAAAUGCAACGGAACCCUCGUUCUCCUUUAUCAACUGUGAGAAGCACUUGGCAGAAGAAUAGAAGGCUAGAUUUCAGCAGUACAGAGCAUCCGAUGAGUCGUCCUUCCGUUCUGUUGAAUCAAACAUAUAACUGCAUCCCUUCUUUAUCUUGAGCUAUUGGUCCAAUGAGAUCCAUGAUCGGUCUGUUACAUGGAGAGUCCCAACACACAGUAUCCUCACCAAUCCCACUGUCCACUUGUUUUUCCUCAGAGGGAAGGCUGGCUUCUGUGGGUAUAGGCAUCAGUGUAGACAGCAGUUCCACUGUAGACUGCACCCUAGAGGCUCAGUCCUGGGUGCAUUGGUAUCUUCUUUUUCCCAGAGAGAAGCCACAGGAGACAUUAGUGAAGUCCUUGAGACUCAACUUUCUCAUUAGCUGCCUUGAAAGGCCAGUGACCACCUUAGUGACACCGAAGACGGAUUGAGAAAAGCUUGAGAAAAGACCCAGGGAAGCAAUUAAAACACUUGGAAGGUAUCCCAGUCGCUGGACACAUGACGCAGGACCCCGAAAGACAGCUGUGAACUCUGGGCCCAAUUAGUGCAGAGAGAAAUGAUGGCGAUGAGGCAAGUAUGGAGAUAGUGUUUGGAGACAAUGGUGACAGCAGAGGUAUGGGAGGUGGCUUGUCGUCAGGUAUCACAGAGCUUCAUCUAUGAGGUGGAAUUAACACUACUCGGCUGCUAUUAUUACUCUGAGGUGUCAAUAAGGUCAUAUGAACAUGCUUAGGAAAUGGUGGUGGCUUCACAUAUCCUGUUUGACUGUGAAGGGCAGGAGGAGGGGGUGUGGCUUCCCACGAAUUAGCACAGCUGUCAUGCUAAUUCAGCGUGACAACCAUAGUCUUUCCUAAGGCAAGCCAGAGCUCUUUUCCUGUCCUUUGGCACAGGUGACAUGCCUGGAUAGAAGGGGGCUUAUCGUUAAAUACUAUCUCCCUUGGGUAUACAUUGGAGGUAAUGCAGUACUAUUUCUGGCUACAGGAAUGUCAUUACCCAGUGGCUUGCAGGCCACUUCAAACAGUAGGUUAGAGACAUGACAGCUGGUGCUGGCUGCACACUGUGCUAUGUACAUAAGAAAAGACAGGCAGACAAACACUGUAAUUAACAACCUGGAGUGAUCGUAUGUUCCUGCAGUAAAAACAGGUGAUGGAUUUGAUAUGUAAUCUGAACUUAAUCAUUUGGUUGAGGUGAUUUCAUAGUUGACUAAUUUAGCAAACCAUUCUUUUAAAGGCAGCUGAUUAAAAAAAUGCCCGAGGUUAUCAAUUUGUUGUCAGAGCUGUAGAAAAAUGGGAAUGGGAAGAUUUUAGUUCAGAUAAUUAUUGAAUAAAGACUUGACUCCCAUGUUAGGAGAAUGUUCUAGAUGGAGGUAAUUCAGUUGGAACUUUUGUAAACGUAGAGGAGGGAUUGUUAGAGACUACAGAAUACCACUGUAUUGUAUUUGUUUUAUUUAGUUAAUCAUGAUAUCGUUAGGCUGAAUUCACUUUUACAUGCUGGUUUAAGCAACUUGGGAUCCUGGCUUGUGGUAGAAGCCCUUAGGAAGACAAUGGAUGUAUUCCAAGACUAGCAAGAAGACUGAGGAACCUUGAACACAGUGUGCAGGGGAGAGUAUAAAAUGAGGCUAGGGAGGCCAGGCCUUAUUAGUUGACUGUAAAUAUUUGUAUUUUCUCUUAAGUCAUUACAGGGUUCCAAGUGGAGAAAUGGAUUGAUUGGACAUCACUACAGUCGGGGAAGACAACAGGACUACACUGCCCCGAGAAGACUACACACCAGGUGCUAUGGAAAUAGGUCCAGCUUCAGAGCAGCCAAAUCUUUCUCAGCUGUAACUCUACAGGGGAGGCUUUAUACCAAGUUAGCAACUUCGAUGUUGAUGAGACAUAUGCCAUGUUAUGGUGUGGUAGAAUACCACGAGCAAAAAAGCAACUUACAGAAGAAUUUAUUUUGAUUUGCAGUAACAGAAGGAGAGUCCAUGAGAGGAGAUGACCAGAGCAGAAGGUUCUAGAGCUACCACAUCUGGAUCACACAUAGGAAGCAGGGAGCAAGACCUGGGAGUGGGCUGGGGUUAGUGGCUCUCAGAUUCAAGCCUUAAUGAUACACUUCCUCCAGCAAAGGUCCCAGACUAAAAGUUCCAUAACUGUUCAAACUGCACCACCAACUGGGAAACAAGUGCUUAAAGUCCUGAGCCCAAGGGGAACACCACAUACAUCAAGAUGUUCUAAUCAGUAUUACUUCCUUUCUCCUACUGACCUUGAAUUAGAUUCCUUGAAAUAUAAAAAUUUUGGGGUGUGGGAAUGGCAAGAAGACUUUUUUUAAAAUUUUGGUCUAAUGUGAUCUGUAUUAUAGAAUGUUAUAUACGUGUUUCAGAACAACAUGUAUUCUACACUGUUGGGUGGUAUGGUCCACAACACAUGUCUCUAGGUCCUUCUGGGCUAAUGCUUGCUCAAAUCCACUGUUACUGUUUUGAUGUUCUUGUCUCUGCUGUAUUUGUAGCAAGUAUGAAAAUAUGCUUGUCAUUACCUUAUGUGUCUACAGUACUAAGAAAUAUUGCACUUUAUUUUGAAUUCCUUCAUCCACUCUGCCUUUAUUUCAAGUAACUAUUGACAGGGAAGACAUUUCAUUUUUUCACUGAUUGUUUCACAGUCUUUGUUCUUACAGCUUUCCACUUACUGUGGAAUGAAAUGGAAUGCUUCAAUCUCUGUCAUUUUACCUUUUGCAUAUCUUCUAUGGUGCUUUUAUCUUUGGGUCAAUCACUAAAUUUUAAAGCAAAAUCUUUUGUGGCAAUAGCAGAUGGAUAAAACAGGAAACUAGGGUUAGAAUCAAUGCUUGCAUGGCUCUGUCUUUGUGACCAUGUGUCUGUCCCACGAGUGUUCUGUAUGCUGUAGUCCUGAGUGUGAAGACCAUGUUUUCAUACCACUCUUCCACACCUUUGCUAAUAUGUACUUUCUUACGCUUUGAAUCCCCCCUUUCCAUUUUUGAUACUUUUUUGUUUUGAAACUUAGUUCACUCAAAUAAUGGUGUGUUUCCCUGACAGUCUGUCCCACCUACAAUUGAUAUAGAUGAUCUGGCAGAGUAGCACAUAGCUGUAAUACCAACAUUCAGGUGGUGGAGGCAGGAAGAUACUAUACUAAGUCUGAGGACAGCCUGAGCUACAUGGUAAGAACAUGGCUAACAAAAGCAAAGCAAAACAAAAGAUGCAUACAGGUUUUGGGGGAAAAGAUAGGUAUAUGUAAUAGUAACUAUGAUUCUAUUAUCACCCUUGAUUUUGUUUAAUACUACUUAGGCUAAGCUGUGGCACUUUAGGGAACAUCUCCAAAUACUUGGUGCUUUCUUUUUCAAAUAGAAGUCCACACACGAACACCCAUAAGUGAGAAACGCAAAGUUAGUGACAUACCCCAUGAAGUGCAGUGGACACUCUGACAGCUGCAAUUUAUCUACAUAAAUUUUUGCUUAGCUGCAAAGCUUUUGCCACAGGGAGAUAGGGCACUUCUUAAAUUGCCUCCUGCCUUCUUUAAUAGCAAUCUUAGUUUAUAUAAUUCAGAUAUCUCAGAACAAAAAAAGACACCUUGGUGCACAAAGAGUGAAAUAUCCAGAUUUCAUGUAUAUCAGCAGGAGUAUCCAUCUUUAGAUAUUAGAGCUCUUUCCUUCUCUUGUCAGAUAUGUCGAUAGAUUACUUUUUCAAGAAAAUAGGAGGAGAGGACACUUAGUGGUAAACAAACCUGGGUGUCAUUUCACUUUCCUUUGAAUCAAAGGACAGACCUAACUGGAUUCCCUGUCACUACCUUUGUGGUGGCUUCUAACAGCAUUAAGUAGGGAGAAUCCUCUUAUUGAUACCCUCACACCAACAAACUGAUUGAACAUGCAUGCAUUUAACUGUUCCCAAAGCUGUUACCACCAUAUGUAUACUUGUCUCUUGAAGCUACUUCAGGCACUUCAAGUACUGUUUUUCUCAUUUAAAAGUAGUAUCAACUUGCAUUUUAGGCAUAGUUAAGAUAUGCUGCCACACAGUUUUUAAAUACGCAUAGAAAUCUAAUUUGGGUGAUACAGCUGAACUCCAGUGGAAGUUUCUAAUAAAGUAGAUUAGUUGAACCCUGGGCUCAAAUCCCCUAAAUGUUAAAGCUAAGCUCGCUUUACUGCAACCAGCUACCCUGACUGAAAUUACCUGCUCACAAAUCCUAUUUUUAGAAAGCCAGUUUUAAGAAGGCUAUUUAUAAUUCCAAACUCCAGAGUUAGUUUCUUCUACUAUUAUAAUAUUUUGGCUUAGCUGUUAUAGAACUGAUUCAUUAAGAAUGAAUAGUUUGAGACGGGUGGUGGUGAUGGUGCACGCCUUUAGUCUCAACACUCGGGAGGCAGAGGCAGGUGGAUCUCUGUGAGUUGGAGACGAGCCUUGUCUACAAGAGCUAGCUCCGUUUUGU